UUAUUCUUUGCAACAUUUUUUUAUACGUAAUAUUCAGAAAAAAAUUUAAAUUUUACGCUCAUAUAUUAUUUUAAUUUUUAGAUCGUUGCUGGAUUUAAUGAUUGUUUUGAGUAGUGGAAAAUUGGAGUAGGGGUAAGGUGGGUAUAAGGAAUUUGUUUCGACUACUAAUGGAUUUCUGUUCACCUCCUUUGUGCGCUGCACAUGUUAUCUCUCGAACUGUAAAACAUACUCUUUCAGCGGACCUGGUAAAUUGAGCCGAUUCACAUUCUGUGCCAGUUUCCGAUUUACCGCCUCGUAGAUGGCGAUACGAGCCAUUUGUUUAAGACUGCGCGGUUUGCGAUACAAUGAAGAAAUUAACGAUAUCAAUUGUUCGGUCUUUUUAUUUGGCACUUGCGCCACGUAAAAGUUAUGCAACGACUUAAGGCAAUUGUAUAAUGGUCCAUGAUGCAUCGUCAAGAAAAACAAAUGUAUAAUGCGUGUAAAGGUAACGUGAGUGUGUACGAAACGAAUUGCGAAACGAGCUUUCACCACCACUGCUGGAUCCGGCUACGCCGCCAUUGCUAUUGGCCCCAC